rnacentral:rRNA from 1 species
AGCGAACGCUGGCGGCAGGCCUAACACAUGCAAGUCGAACGGACCCUUCGGGGUUAGCGGCGGACGGGUGAGUAACACAUGGGAACGUGCCUUUAGGUUCGGAAUAGCUCCUGGAAACGGGUGGUAAUGCCGAAUGUGCCCUUCGGGGGAAAGAUUUAUCGCCUUUAGAGCGGCCCGCGUCUGAUUAGCUAGUUGGUGAGGUAACGGCUCACCAAGGCGACGAUCAGUAGCUGGUCUGAGAGGAUGACCAGCCACACUGGGACUGAGACACGGCCCAGACUCCUACGGGAGGCAGCAGUGGGGAAUCUUGCGCAAUGGGCGAAAGCCUGACGCAGCCAUGCCGCGUGAAUGAUGAAGGUCUUAGGAUUGUAAAAUUCUUUCACCGGGGACGAUAAUGACGGUACCCGGAGAAGAAGCCCCGGCUAACUUCGUGCCAGCCGCCGCCGUAA